CAUCAGGCGCUCUAUGAUGCGGUAAAAUCGUUUGGUAGGAAAGCGAAGAAGAAAGGGAAAGUUGCUUCGCUAGUAUCCUUGCUCCAGGUGAAGCGACUGUAACCUUCUGAAUCACCGGUUCGGAGCAAGUUCGUGUUAUUCCAAGCGUUAAAAUCUGUCAUCUCUGCGUGGACGUCGUUUUUGGCCGGGCAAAGCCGUCAACAAUCGUGCUGCUCUCUUCCUGGAAACCGAAUUUUUGACUCGUUCGAGGAAUUACGUCGGGCCUCGAAUAUUUUCGGGACCUUCGAAUCGACAAAUAAUGAUUAAUGGACCGAACAAAUAUUAUCUUCGUUCGUAACAAAUUUUACUAUCUGGAUCUUUGUUGGAAGCCUGAGAACUCAGGUCUGGAGAUGAACCAGACCAUCAGAAAUGCUGAUGACGAACUUGGGAUCACCAAACUCCUGAGAUGAUGCGUAAUCCAUCACUAGUGUUAUAAAAAAUUUCCAAGGUGGAUUGUUUGUUCGAUGUUUAUUCUUCUUUUCGUUAUAAUGGAAGAAUACUACAAGCAUUUAUCUUUAGUCGGACGCUUCGUGUUUUUAUUUGGUCUGGCUCAGUCAAUUGCAUAACCAGUCCCAGCCACAGAAACGAUACAUCACACGGAUAACGUAAGCAGUAACUAACAAUAAGAAAAAGAUGGAAGCUACUUUAUCACGAUAAUAUAACUUGUUCGUGGAAGAUACCAUUAUCGAACAGAGAAAGUCUUCUACUAGUAUGAUCCAGGUUUCGAUGAUUAGAAUGUUACUUUACGUCUUAAUUGCAAACGAUUUUUAAUUAUCGCCCGUGGUUUCUAUUUGAUGUGCAGAAACGUGAUAAAGAUUUCUAUCGCGCGUUUCACUUUCACCGCUACAUUCUAUGAUCAAUUUUCUAGAGUGUUAACGCCCCAGCGCGUCCAUUCGACAGGAUUGUUGAUAUUCCGAUGAUAUCAUUUCCAAUCUUCCUCUCAUCGUCCGAUUUCACCUGCGACUGCGUCUUUAUCGUUGCCAAAGCUUCCUCCGAUGAUUCCUUCUCUCGCUUUCUCUUCCAACGACUCUUCGCUGAUCGCGAGUUUCUCCCCAAUCGCCAACGAAAACGCUGAUGACGUUUAGACCUCGGUCGCGUGCAAGAAGAGGAGAAACUCGCCACGGACGAAUCACAACCGCCGACUUGAGCGGACCCAGACAACAUUUUCCGUCAACUGGUGAAACCCCUGAUGUUGUUUAUUAUAGCUUCGUAUAUACAACGUGUAAAAUUAGAGUCCUACGGUUUCCUCGAGUAGUUCUUCCAACGUUGAGUCUCCUGUGGUAGAUGGUAGAACAUGAUCAAUGGUCCCUGGUAUAUAGACGGUUAUAAACAUUAUUUAGGCUUCUGUUUUAGGUUCCUAAAAGGUAAUCCUUCGUUACUGCAACAUGGAUUAAUAGUAGACCAGUGGAUGGUCGCCAAGUAACAAGGAUUGCAGGAGUUUCAGUUUUACUAUACUCUGCCGUUUUAAUACCAGCAAGAAUUCCAUUGCGUAAACGCGCAGCUACCCCGUACCAUGUUCCUGUUGCUCGUACAAGCAAAACAAAUGGGAUUUCAUGCCGGAUAUAAGGAUGAUGUAAUUUUCAACAGCCGAGUUAACCGGACAUGGUUGCAUUUCGGCAUUAAUGCGAGCAGCACAGUGAUCCACUUCAAUUAUAUCGUAACACGCGUGGAUACAUACGCACGCACACUUUGUGAAAGGAAACUUCUUUUGGAGCUUAUAACGUGUGCGUUCUAGAAUUAACGGAAACCUCUUAUGUUCUCUCUUGCGCGGCGUAGUAACUUUUAACCAAAGCAGUUAUUGUAGCUUUUUAACAAUAAACAAAAAUUAGAAACAUUAAUCUCAUUUCAUAUGAUGUAGCGUUAAUGGAAUAUUUUGUCCGAUAAAAGUACGUUAUACUUAAAAAUUAAUUAAAAAAAGAAACUACGUACCAUAUAGUGUUUUAGAAAAUGAAACGAGUCGAGGAGGGUCCGUAUUACCGAAUAGAAGGAUCUCGUCGUCUCCGUUAACUGGGACAACCGCUACACAUUAUCUAACCGGACAUAAGACAAAGGGGCAGGCUUCCAAAAUUUUAUCUCACGCGAUGCGUCACGCGGCCUCGCUACGUCGUUCUCUACUCCUCCCUGAUCGGCGAUCGUGGAAAGGUGAAAGCAGAUCGCGUGGAAUAAUCCUUGAAUAGUCGCGACGAUUCUUUUUUUUUUUCUUCUCUCACUUUAGCCAGCAGACACAAAGGUGCCGCGUGAAAUCACAACCAAGAAAACGAUGUCGCAACAGGCGACAAGCUCAUUAGA